AUCACGUACAGCUUGCGAUAUCGACACGAUCGAGACAAGCUUUUAGAAGCCUCGUUAGCUCGGUGCCUCUCUGCACCGCUCCAUUCGCGAAGGCGUGAGCACAGAUCGUCGUAUAUUAUUUAUAAAAAUAUGGAAAUUGCGUCAAAGAAGAUUGGGAAAGACCGCGAUAAGAAAAGUUCCUGACAGUCCAUAUCGUUGCCGUAGCGUUUCGUGAUCGUCAUAUUUUCCAGUUUAAAUGAAUACAUUGGGCCAGCGGUAUUCGAUCACAUUUAUUGGUACGUAACAGUUAUUGGAUCUGUAAAGUCUCUCAUGAGGAGGAGCGUCCAUUGUUCAAUUGUUGACGAAGUAACUCUUCGACGAACAAAACUAACGAUGCCUUCGGCAUCGAAGCAAGAGCAGAAUUACUAUAUUUUUAUUCAAAAGUUUUUGUUUAAUAUUCAUAUUUAUGAACACGAAAUUAUUCGAUACUUCCGAGAUUCUUGAAUCUGAGAAAUUCGAUUAUUCGAAUAGCGUGUUCCACGAUUGGUUCGGAUAAUCCAGGCUCAAUUCUGUUUACAGUGGCUCACGAGAAUAUUUGAACACUUACUACAGAGAACGUCUAUGCACAAGUAUAUAUUCUACAUUAUACACACAUAUUAUAUAAAACAUUUUGAAAUUUCAUUAGCACAAUAAUGAGACACAACUAUCAUUAUCAUAUUGGUAAAAUUCGAAGCGAAUCUCAUUAUACAAUGCUAAUGAGAUUUCAAAAUAUUCCAUAGAGAACACGUACAUAAUAUAUUCGCGAAAGAAUAGUUUGAGUAUUUUCGUGAGUCGUUGUAUUUCUGAAUAUAUCAGACGAAUAUGGAAUUCAUAAUAGUUCGUCAUCGUGAACGAGGAAGAUUAAACACGGAUGACGCAAAGACACGAUGCCAGCUAUUAUCUGUGCAACACAGAACAUGUAUUCCGACGUAGAGGAUAUUAUAGAAAUUGCAGAAGACCCAAGACUGGUAUCGAUGUUUGCUGGAUGCUUCAGCUGCUUCGCCGGUAGCAAAGAUUAAUCCUAUAUGAACGAAUAUUCGGUGUAUCUUUGUUGAUACAACGAGGAUGUAUGUCCGAGCAUUGCGUGGAAUUCUCGCUCACAAGCUUUCCAUCAUUUCCUCGGGAAAUGUGCACCAUCUGCAUACACAGGAUACUGAAGUUCUGGAACACAAGCUUAAAAGUUAGAUUCUGUUUGCAAGAAAACUGGCAGAACACCGAAUAUUUAAUACUUUAUUUUUGCACACUUCGUAUUUUAUUUAGAAAAGAUAUUCUUUUCGAGGAAUGAAAAUCGUAUCUGCGACCAGGGUAAACCUUAUUUGAAGUAAAGAUAAAAAUUAACAAUUUGAAAUAAUGACUUUCAGAUCUGAAUGAUCGAAUUUCAUCGAGAAUUAUCUUGAUGAAAUUCAACAUAGAGAAUGUAGAUAUUUAACUUCAUUUUGCAUCGAAAUCAAAUAAAUUAUCUUUGAGUACCUUUCUGUCUUAAUUGACGAUAUUAAAUGAAAUAACAUUUGAGUUAUAAACGGUAUAAGUGAAUUAUUUUACAACCUAACGAUAUUCAGGAUAUUUCAAUCUUUUAAUUUUACCUGGAAGAAUGCACAUUAUAUCUUCGUUAAAUAUCAUACCGAGUUUGUGAUUCUCACGUUUGCUUACUCUGGAAUAUUCUGUUGGACUGCGAUGUUUCCAUCUACAUCCUACGCUCAUCCACGAAUGUAGAAUAGAUUGUUUCAGGAUGACGUUACAGGAAUUUUAUGUAUUUCUCAGAAACAAGCUUGCGAAUUGUAACAUGUAAAAAAGCUGAGCACAGUCAACUCGAAAACAUAAUUAGACACUGCCACACCAAACGUAAUAAGCAAGAGGACAUAAUACUCUUUCAUAAAUAUAUAAUCGCAGCGGAAAAUAAGCGACAUAAUUUUUCCAAAUUUCUACUCGUAUUAUAAGUCUCUCCAUGUUCACGAACUUGUCGUAACGCGUGGGUGAAAGUAUCGUGUGCUCUACGCAAUCGAAAGAGAAACUUCCGCUUCCUGAAGCGAGGUUCUCGUUAUGUAGACGAGUCAAUUACGCUCGUUUUUGCUCUUGACACUUCAGGGUUUCUUCGAGCGAGAUCGACGUGCACGCACAUCUGCUCGAACGAUCGGGAUGUUGGUUUCUAAUUAUUAAUUUGCGUAAUUACCGCACCGCAUGACACCGAGCAAUUGGUUUUUAAUUGAAGCUCGAUGACUACCCCCGUUUUAAUGCAAUUCUGAUGUCGUGUUUUGGUGGCCGAUGAAAAUGGGAAGCAUAUAGACAUAUACUGAACUGACGUAGCCAGCCAUUCGUGUUUUAAUUGGUUUUUCUACGGAAAUAAUUUACGAGCGAUAAUUUGACGCAUCUCGUUGUUUUGUAUUUAAUAUGUUCCUUAUUAAUAAUGAUGAAUCGCAGGAAGACAAAUAACGUUUCGUUUAAAUCCACGUUUCAGCGAACGCGAAAUUCAACGUGAAAAAUCAAUUGUAUCAUUUUCUCUCACUUUUCCUGCCAACUUACACAUACCGAGCAAUAUACUUGAAAUACCGCUACGAAGAUAGAAGGUUCUCCGGACUUUUUCCUGCCGAUAUGUACGCGUCAAACCGCGCUUCGACCGACUUGAAAAACUGGUGCUGAUAAUAACGAAACGAGUUUUGAGAUAAAACGAGCGAGCAGUAUUCAGUUCUGUGCCACGUUUGGCAGAUCCACUCGACGAUCCCCCUCCUUUUUUUACCUCUUUUUCCUCGUUUUUUCUCCUCACCCUAUUCCUUUUUUUUCUCUUUUGCAGUGUCAUGAAUCUCAAAAAAAAGUUGAACUAUGACUUUUUGUUAACGAGAAAUACAGAUACGCGAUGAUCGUUGCGAAGAAAUCCCUCGCAAAUGGCCCAGAUGUGAAGCUGAUAAAACGUCGGUGAAAAGCAAAAGCUGACGAUCGGUUUCAACGUUUGAAAAAUGUGUAUCGAUACGCAGAAUGUUGGAUUAUUGAUAACAAAAACAGACAGACAGUUUUACUACCAAGAUCGACAAUCAGACAGUUGUACGCUGUGUUUCGAAAGUAUUUAAAUAUUUACCAUACGUCACUUUUACUAUCACAUGUUCGCUGUGUCAUACGAAGUGGACUGACUUUGUGAGAUACCGUCCGUUGUGAGACAUCUCCAAUUCCAAAUCCUCCCAUUCAGUUUACAUGUUGUAUUGUUCAACAACAAUCCGCGCGCGUUUAAAAAGCAUCGAUAGAACUCGUACGUAUUAUUCGACAAUAUGGAAAGAUACUUGAUUCGAUACGAUUCUCUGAAGUAUACUACAGCAAGAGUAUUUGGACGCACAUAGGGGAAGGUCAGCUGCAGUUGUCGUGGUUGAUAACUUCACGUAUUCUGUGACUCUGGAUUCUCUCCACUUUUCCGGCUGAAAAAAAGGAACUAGAACUUGUACGUUCCUUUUGUAACUUUUCAAGCGACUGACUUCUUUCUAUUCCCUUUCAUCCUUUGCUUCCUAUCCCUAUUUCCGUGAACGCUUCCGUGGACAAUUGGCCCCGUAUUCUUUUCACGAACAGUGACCAUACGACUUACAUUCGUGCCACGUUGAAAAAAAUAUCCAGUUCUGCAAUUUUUAGGCUUGUAAACGCUGGAUGAGCCGAGUAAGAAUGUCUCGGUCGAUGUAAAUUUCCGCAGAGGAGCUAACACAGAGGAGUUCAUUUCAGUUUUUUCGUAUACCUUUAGCUUUUCAAGUCGGACUGAUAAAACGUACGAGUACAAUGGCUGACGAAAGUAUUUCAACCUGCAAGCAAAUUUAACUCAGACAAAUAAUUUUAGUGUCUUAAGAAUAUCUGCAGCCUAUAAUUGACACGAGAACUUCAUAACAAUUAUUUCGUGUUUCCCUGGAAUUUGAGAAACUUUUUAACAAUUCAGCCCCGAUCGAAAUGUACCCAGAGGACACGGCACAGUUAAAACACACUGUUCACUGAUUCGUAUUGGGUAGUUAUGAACUGUUUCUAUUCAAGCGAUCGAGCAUCAUGAGCUUGUAACUUCCAGUUUGCGUUAAUGUUCAUAGCGAGCUGUGAUGCAUGUCAUUCAUUCGACAUCACUUUCACGAGCCAUUCGAUAAAACCGGACACGAUAAUUCUGGCACGGCAAGCAUUUCAUCGUGCUAUCGGCGUUAAUUUGUAUGCCCGAUAAGCGUGGAAAUUGCAGCGACGUUUGAAUGCUUGAUUUUCGUUCGACCAAGGUGGUAGUUGUUUUCGACGAGUCACUCACAUCAGUUGAAUAGAUUUUGCUCCUGCUUUCACGACUGUUCUUCAUCGAAGUUUGGUACCCUUCCAUUCAACUGGGCCAUUAAGAGUUGGCUAAUACCAUGAUUUAACUCAAUGUCUUUUGUGCGACUCGUGGUUUUCAAGGAAACGCCCGCCAAGUCAUUAUUCUCGCGAGAAUAAAUUUUGUUUCAAGUUUCAGGUUAUCGUUUAUGAAAAAUAUAAUAUCCAAUAUAAUUAAAUCGUGGACGUACGUGUAAAUUCAUAUAUUUCUGAACGCAACCGAAGAAAUAAAGUGGCUACGAAAUCGAAAGCUGACUCGUUAAUGAAAGCCGCUGUUCAGAGUUAAUGGUGUGCUUGAUAAUUCUGUUGCCAUAGAAUUUCGACUGCAUUCGACGAUUUAGUACGCUGAUCUCGGGACGAUAACGCAAGAAGAUCAAAGGGUAAAAGCUAUACAUAUCUAUAAUAAAUGGCAUCAUUAAUGGAGCCCAGUCGCCAUAAGAUCAGCGCGAAAUAUCCCCAUCAUCUAUAGUAGUCUCGCGUGUGCCGACCAGUUCACGCUCGGAUAUAUCCGAAAAUCGCAAUUAUUUUUUGUCAAGAAUAUUUUGAACGGGACCAGAGAAAAUGACUAAAAAAUGAAGCCAUCGAUACUGAUUAAAAUAUUCAUUACUGAUUGUAGGAAAUUCGGUAAUGAAUAUUUCAAUUUCAGAAAAAUUCUCGCCUAACUCGACUAAUGAUAAGAUUCGUUAAACCUCAGAUAAUUAUCGCCGUUGAUUAUGGAACGUGAUAGUUAUCAACGUUGGUUACAGAACGUUAUAUUACCGUUAAAUAAUAACUAUGCAACGAUGAAUAAUAUGUAGAUAGCGAAUUUUGUGUAAAGCGUUAGAAAUAAGCCUCGUGAAUCAUUUUCUUGGGAAAUAUCGGAGAUAACGAGGAAAUUCUUGUUUGACGUCGCAGAGAGAUAAAGGAAAUGCAGCACCAGCCCCUUGAGGUGCGAUCAUAUUACACAUGUCACAAUAAAUAAAUUCUAAAACAUCAAAGAGCCUUAUUGCCGUAUCGAAGUAUUUCCAAAAGCUUAAAUAAUUUAUUUCACGUAAUAUUGGUGUGAUAACUGUGCGAUUAAAUCGUUCACAUAAUUAUAACGCUUCAAAAAUAGCGUCGAUAAAUAUUGUAAAUUAAACGAACCUCUUAUUAUCGCCUUAGCUCCUAUAAAUAUCUAUAUCCAUUGAAAUAUCCAUUUUGCGUGUUUCCAUCAUUAAACUAAUUCCAAACGAAGGAGAAUUGUCUAACGCCCAUUAACUCCAAAAACGUUCGGGAUGAUAGAUGUUAUCGUGACAAGUAGCGUGCCAUUCUGUAGUACCCUGGGAGACAUCACUAACUGUUACUACUGUAAAUGAAAUAUGCCAGACAAGCAGAACAUUCCGCCAUUCAUUUGUUCGUCGAACAGAACAAUAAUAGCGAAGAUAUAUUGCGCUGUAAGCGAUACGUAAUUCCUAUGUUUAUAAUUCUACGUCUCUA